rnacentral:rRNA from 1 species
UACGUAGGUGGCAAGCGUUGUCCGGAUUUACUGGGCGUAAAGAGCGCGCAGGCGGUCGUUCAAGUCGCGUGUGAAAGCCCCCGGCUCAACUGGGGAGGGUCACGCGAUACUGAUCGACUCGAAGGCAGGAGAGGGUAGUGGAAUUCCCGGUGUAGUGGUGAAAUGCGUAGAUAUCGGGAGGAACACCAGUGGCGAAGGCGGGUCUCUGGACAGUUCCUGACGCUGAGGAGCGAAAGCAUGGGGAGCGAACAGG